UUUAGGGAUCAGGCGAACUUUGAACUUUGAAUUGUCACGGCACAAUUCAUGCUGUUCGUAAUACGAUAUUAUUAAUACGUAGUUAAGCCCUGUAACCGAAAUUGCGUCGAACCUCACGCGCGAUUAACAAGAACAAUCAAAGCCCAGCAUUUUAACGGCAACGCCCAGCCUUUGUACUUUCGUCAGAAUUAGUGCGAAUCACUCAGUACUCUUUCCGACGCAGCUGUAUUUGAUCGACAAAGACGACCACAACGAUGAUGAUGAUGAUAAUGAUCGUAAUCACGAGGGCAAUGAAUCUCGCUGUCGAUGCAAGUGGUCCGAAUCUUGAACAAUAUUUCUCUCAACUGGAUGAUUGUAUAAGUACAUGGAAGAAAAUGACGAUGUCGUGAUGGUUGAAACGAAGAAGAUAAAACGAGGACACAUUCUCAGCGGGACGAAACAGAAAGGAAAUAAAAUUAUCACUCCGGAAAAAAGGCAGCAUACUGUGAAUCACGGGACAGCGCAUGGCAGACACCACCCGUAGAUUAUAAUCGAAUUUUAACGCCACAUAAACGCCCCAGAAUUGUUUCUUUUAUGGCAUCCAUUACGGUGUCCCCAAGGGAAAAAUCAAUGGACUCUGACGAACGGUCGCGGGUACGGGAGAUAUAUACUUACGUGAACGUAAAAAACCGCACGCAGCCACAUCUUUGCCAGCCGUGUAACAAAUCUACGGUCUGCAGGAGCGGAGGAUUUUGUCCCAAGGGCAAAACGAUGCAACGCGUCCCAUUAACUUUUCAUCAGAUCAUAGCUUACCAUAUAAACGGCCACACGGCCACAUUGUGCUGUACGAUAUCGACACAUCGAUGCACACGUGCGU